rnacentral:rRNA from 1 species
CCUACGGGUGGCAGCAGUGGGGGAUAUUGCACAAUGGGGUAAACCCUGAUGCAGCGACGCCGCGUGGGCGAAGAAGUAUUUAUGGAUUUAAAGCCCUAUCAGCAGGGAAGAAGAAAUGACGGUACCUGAGUAAGAAGCACCGGCUAAAUACGUGCCAGCAGCCGCGGUAAUACGUAGGGUGCAAGCGUUAUCCGGAUUUACUGGGUGUAAAGGGAGCGCAGGCGGCACGGCAAGCCAGAUGUGAAAGCCUGCGGCCCAACCGCGGGACUGCAUUGGGAACUACCAGGCUGGAGUGCCGGAGAGGUAGGCGGAAUUCCUAGUGUAGCGGUGAAAUGCGUAGAUAUUAGGAGGAACACCAGUGGCGAAGGCAGCCUACUAAACGGUGACUGACACUGAGGCUCGAAAGCGUGGGGAGCAAACAGGAUUAGAUACCCCUGUAGUC